AUACUGAAAAAGCUGUGCCUUGUGUAUGAUGGGAAACCUGAUAAUGUCCUGUUGGCUUCCUCAUACCUCAACUUUCCCCACCUGGAGUCACCACUCCUUACCUGAGUUCAGCUAUUUAAGCAGAGUAGAUGGAACUUAGACGAAUGUAUUUCAAAGGGAAAGAGGCUGCACUGAAUACUGCAUUGAAUUGUUAUGCACCCUACGCUUCGCCUGUCUGAACCAAUCCCAUUACUAUGGCUUCCCUGGGUCAGAUCAUUUUCUGGAGCAUGAUCACCAUCAUCAUAAUCCUGGUAGCAGUGAUUGUGCUGAUCAUCGGCUUUGGUGUUUCAGGGAGACGCUCCAUUAGUGUCACCACACUAACCUCCGCUGGGAAUAUCGGGGAAGAUGGCAUCUUGGGCUGCACUUUUGAACCUGGCAUCAAGCUCAGCAACAUAGAGAUUCGGUGGGCUAAAACUGGGGUCUCUGGGAUGGUGCAUGAGUUUAAAGGUGGCAAGGACCAUCUAAAUGACCAGGAUGAAGUGUUCAAGGGCCGGACAGCGAUAUUCGCAGAGCAGGUGAUUGGUGGGAAUGCCUCCUUGAUGCUGAGAGAUGUGCAGCUCUCCGACGCUGGUGCUUACAGGUGCUCUGUCACUACAUCCAAAGGGAAUGGAGAAGCAGGGCUGGAAUAUAAGACCGGAGCCUUCAGCUCUCCAGAGAUGCAUGUGGAUUACAACAGCAGCAUGGACACCCUGCGGUGUGAGGCUCCCCGGUGGUUCCCUCAACCUGUCGUGAUUUGGACCUCACACAAUAACACAAGGGACAACUUAUCUGAGGUCUCCAACACCAGCUUCAAGCUGAACUCUGAGAAUGUGACUAUGAAUGUGGUAUCUGUUCUGCACAACAUUACAGCUAAUACCACCUAUACUUGUGUAAUCAAGAAUGACAUUGCCAAAGCUACAGGAGACAUCAAAGUGACAGUCUUUUUUCUUCCUUUACAGAUUCCAGCAUCAAGAAGACAGUUCAUUUGCAGCUAUUGCCCAUGAACAUGGCAUCAGCCUCCUUAUCCCCUCUUGCCUUUUACUGGAUACUUCUGCCUCUCCUGUACCUGAUGGCUUUGUAGUGCUUGAUCUCCAUAAAGAAAUGUGAAGAGAAGUUGGAACUGGAGAUGAAGAAUUCCACAAGGAUACCAGGCAAGAUUAAGUGGGAAGGAAGACGUCCUAACCAGAGGAAUGGGAUACAUUUUCUUACUUAGAUAACAUAGUGAUCAAAACUUUGGUAUUAUCUAUCUAUGAAGGCUCUAUCCAUGAUCACACAGCUGGAAAAAGGAUUUGCCACAUUGGAUCAGAUCAUUGUUGCCUUGAGUUCAGCAUAUUAUAAUAUGCAAAUUGUGUAUUUUUUCUUAAAAUGACCUAUAACAUUUGAUUACCCAGGCCUCACUAAUCUAUCAGAAUUCUCUGAAUGUGUCAAUAAAACA